UGCGCAGGCGGGUUUGUAAGUCAGUGGUGAAAUUCUGCCGCUUAACGGUAGAAUUGCCAUUGAUACUGCGAAUCUUGAGUAUGGUUGAGGUAGGCGGAAUGUGUAGUGUAGCGGUGAAAUGCAUAGAUAUUACACAGAACUCCGAUUGUGAAGGCAGCUUACUAAGCCAUAACUGACGCUGAGGCACGAAAGCGUGGGGAGCGAACAGGAUUAGAUACCCUGGUAGUCC
rnacentral:rRNA from 1 species